rnacentral:rRNA from 1 species
AACGUAGGGGACAAGCGUUAUCCGGAUUUACUGGGCGUAAAGCGCCCGUAGGCGGCCUGACAAGUUGGACGUGAAAGCUCCUGGCUUAACUGGGAGAGGCCGUUCAAAACUGUCAAGCUAGAGUCUGGAAGAGGAGAGCGGAGUUCCCGGUGUAGUGGUGGAAUGCGUAGAGAUCGGGAGGAAGGCCGGUGGCGAAGGCGGCGCUCUGGAACAUUUCUGACGCUGAGGCUCGAAAGCGUGGGGAGCAAACAGG